UUACAUUUUUGGUAUCAGAGCGGAGGUUUAAAAUCUUUUCUGAAGACAGAAGAAGGCAUAUGAACAUACUUUGGCUGGGAAGCUUGGUUAACUCUUUUCUUAUUUACCUAUGUGUUUAAUUUAUAUGUUGCAUAGCAAAUAUCCAGAAUUGUUCGGUACGUCAAAUUUCGAGGGCGAAAUUUUAUAAGGAGGGAAGAAUUGUAAUGCCCAACCAUCCAUACAUGGCCAAUAAUAAGCAUAUUGCAUCAAUGCAUAUAGUUAUAAUUCAUUAUUCAUGAUGCAUGAUCACGACUACUUGCUACACAUGUGCCUUAAUUGUGUUUUACUACGUGAUCGAAUACUUUUCUUAAACUGUGAUAAUACAUGAUACAUGUUAUUGAACUUCUACUUUAUGAUUUAACAUUAACUUAAAUGAUUUAUUGUAGUGAGAAGUUAAGUUUCUCGCUAAACGGUGAUAUAUUUGUCUUAGAUGCAUUUCCGCAUUUUAAUUAUGUUUUAAUAUGAUUAAUUACAUAUGUAAUUAUUUGAAGUAACUCAUAUUAGACUAAAACCAAAAGUAUGCAAAAUGGUGCAUUUUGAUUGGUUGGUUGACUAGGUUGCACGAGACCAUUCUGAAAUUGUUUACACUUGAUUAUAAUGAGUAUGCAUCAGCCCAUAUCUUAUCUCAAGCUAUAAAAACGUGGAGGAACCACAAGAAUCCAGCAAAUAAAAGCCUUCCAAUCACCAUCCUCCAUUUGGCCUUGUUGGGAAUGGGUAGAUAAGUGAAGACUUUGUGUUUUGGUCUUCAUUUUCACUUGUCUUCUUCCAAAAACGACCAGACCGAUUUCCUUAAUCUUGUCUUCAUAUUUCUUCACUUCCAUACUCACAUAAGAGAGCAUCAAACCAUAAAAACUCAUAGAAGUAGAGCUAGAACAAGUUCUGCACCUUUUCUAGCUGAAAAUCCUAUGUUUUGAAGUUGAAUUCAUCUCUAAUCAAGGCUUCUAGCACACCUUAUCUAAAACUGAUCCUUUCAUUUCAUAAACCAUUAUUGAUCUUGAGGUAAGUUGAAGCUUUCAUUUGUACAUCGUAAGAACCUAAUUAUGUGCGCUUUAAUGUGACUUUUGCUAUGUAUUCUCUAUGAUGUUUGAAUGAUUGAUGAGUCAUAGUGAUAUGAAAGAAUAUGUUUUGAAAAUGGGAGUAUGGUAUUUGAUUGAUGGUCGAGUAGGCAAGGGACGCGGGAGGAACCGGCGGACCCAACACAUGGUGGCAAAUACCUGAGGUCGAAAGACCAGUAUGGAAAACCCACAAUUAAAGAAAUGAAAUACGGCUAAUACCUUAGGUCGAAAGGCCGGUAUGGAAACCCACGUAUUAUCUAUUGGCCAAAUUUGAUGAACAGGUUCCGAAAAUCAAAGUCUAUUGCUAUCAGUCAAGUACCACACUUCAAGGGUACCCGAUAAAGAGAAGGAUUUCAAAGAAAAGGAUCACGAAUGAAGUUAUAGAUGUGAUAUUGUACUUAUUGAAUGGAUAAUGUGUUAUGUGAUUGAUAUAUUGCUAUUACAUCAGUUUGAACUUGCUGAGCCAUUAGCUCAUUAGGUUCUUAUGAUGCAGGUAAUGAUGUACAUGUUUAGAAGUUGACCUAGCCAAGAGCAGCCAGUCAGAUAUUUGUUCAUAUGCCAUGCUUCGAGCCAUUUUUGUAGCCGAGCAGAAACUCUGAUUUCAUUUUGUUAGCCGCUCUAUUAUGGUUUUUGUACAAUGUAAUUUUGUAAACAAUGAAUAUAUAUAUGUACAUAUUUUGAGAAAGUACAAAGUUUGAUUUCUUUUCAAAGCAUAUAACGUAUUUUUAUAUUAAAACCAUAAUGUUUAAGUAUAUAUAUAUAUAAAAAGCUUAGCAUCCCUAACUUAAUGGCGGUGAUCCGAUUGGAUUCUGCUGUUAGGUUGUGCGGUGUUACAUUUUUGGUAUCAGAGCGGAGGUUUAAAAUCUUUUCUGAAGACAGAAGAAGGCAUAUGAACAUACUUUGGCUGGGAAGCUUGGUUAACUCUUUUCUUAUUUACCUAUGUGUUUAAUUUAUAUGUUGCAUAGCAAAUAUCCAGAAUUGUUCGGUACGUCAAAUUUCGAGGGCGAAAUUUUAUAAGGAGGGAAGAAUUGUAAUGCCCAACCAUCCAUACAUGGCCAACAAUAAGCAUAUUGCAUCAAUGCAUAUAGUUAUAAUUCAUUAUUCAUGAUGCAUGAUCACGACUACUUGCUACACAUGUGCCUUAAUUGUGUUUUAAUACGUGAUCGAAUACUUUUCUUAAACUGUGAUAAUACAUGAUACAUGUUAUUGAACUUCUACAUUAUGAUUUAACAUUAACUU
rnacentral:lncRNA from 1 species